ACUUUGUUUAUUACUUUGUGAACAAUUACAAUUUGGGGACAAUCUUACACAGAUCGAGCUAGUCCCAAACUAAGCAAAGCUUGUAAUAUUAUGGGUACUAGGCGACACCCAUGACUCAGCAACAAAUAUCCGUGCUCAUCACACAAAUAAAUGCCCUCACCGGGAUUCAAACCUGGGACCAUCGGCUUCAUAAGGUCGCAACUAGAGUUGUGCCGUUCUCGAGAACGUUCCCCAUUCUGUAUGGGAAAUGUUCUCAUCUCACUCGGGAAUAUUCCCCAUAGUAAAUUGAGAAUGUUCUUGAGAGUGGCACAAAUCUAGUCGCUCCCCACUAGGCCAGACGUGUCGCCAUUAAAUUAUAUGUCUACAAUAAAUUAUAAUUAAUUUUUGGCAAGCCGGAGAGAGAAAGGCCCAACUGACUAUCAGGGGAGGAGGGCCAUCAUCUAAGAUUGAUAGAGAACCAGUAUUGGAAAAAGUUAGUUCUUGCUGGACCUGUUUUGGAUGGAGUUUUCACAAUUUAUGAUGGAGAUAGCAGCCUUAUGGCCACCCAAAAUGUACCACCAAUAGAAAUUUAUAAUAUUCUUGAAUCAGUUUCUACAAUACUGGAAGUGGAUAUGCAAGAGACCCCAAGAUCCUGCUGAUGGCCAGGACAACGGGACAUUCUAUUUCACAAAUGAUAGGGCUAAUUUAAAGAAGACUCAAGAUCCUGCUGAUGGCCAGGAAAACGAAACAUCGUAUUUCACAAAUGAUAGGGCCAAUUUAAAGAAAAAGCCACACCAUUUAUUGACUAACCAGAAUGGAGUUAAAAUAUUGAAGAACCGAUAGCCGUUUGUCUUAUCAUUCAAUCCAUAGUGGAAAUAUAGGAGUAACGACUCAAAACUAGUCAAGCCCCCUUAAAAUAAAACAAUGCUCUAUC